GGAAGAGAUGAAGGCUCUGCAGCCCCCGCCGUCCGAUUUACGCUUGAGGAAGCGAAGGCGAGAGAGGUCGUCUGCGGGGCCAGCCCAGGGCUGCCGGGGGGGCCCUGCCCUAGAGAGCCGGGCGCGGGCUGCAGGGCCUGGCGGCCUGGACGGCGGAGCGUUGAAAGCUCCCCCAGGGAUAGGAAGUGCAGCCGAAAUCAACGACUGAGGGUCUGAGCACCUCCCUCAUGCAGGCUCCCAAGUUCACCAUGCUGAGAAAGACCUGCGGGAGACAGCAGGAGGACAGCUGGGGAAUGGGCCCGCACGUGCCCAGAGGCCCUGAUGGUGUCGUCUUGGGAGUGGAGGAACCUGAGGGAAAAUCGCAGGGGUGAGUCGGGGAGAGCUCUGCCCUGGUGCCCUGGCACGUAUCCACAUGGGCCGCAGCUGCACCCGGCUCUCAGCAGAGGGCAUCGCCAUGCUUCUGGGCACAGCCGGGCCGUCUCGCCUCCCUGCGGCUCCUGAUGCCUCCCAGGCUCCGCUGAGGUCACCUUGGGCACUUAGCGUGGCUGCAGCUCUUUGCAGCCCUGUGUCCUGUCAUCCAUGUGGCCGUCAUGUGGUCACUUUUGGGCAUUGCGCUGUGCAAGGUCCAUGGGGACUGGGCACCUUUGGCCAUUCUUUCUUUGGUUGUCUGUGCAAGUAAUAAACUAAAUCUGAAAA
rnacentral:lncRNA from 1 species